rnacentral:misc_RNA from 1 species
GAUGAAGAACGCAGCGAAAUGCGAUAAGUAAUGUGAAUUGCAGAAUUCAGUGAAUCAUCGAAUCUUUGAACGCACAUUGCGCCCGCCAGUAAUCUGGCGGGCAUGCCUGUUCGAGCGUCAUUUCAACCAUCAAGCCCCCGGCUUGUGUUGGGGACCUGCGGCUGCCGCAGGCCCUGAAAAGCAGUGGCGGGCUCGCUGUCACACCGAGCGUAGUAGCAUACAUCUCGCUCAGGGCGUGCUGCGGGUUCCGGCCGUUAAACCACCUUCAUAACCCAAGGUUGACCUCGGAUCAGGUAGGAAGACCCGCUGAACUUAAGCAUAUCAAUAAGCGGAGGA